CUUUCCCUCUCUCUGCCUUCCUAACACAUGCACGUCGAACGAGUGGCGGACGGGUGAGUAAUGUCUGGGAAACUGCCUGAUGGAGGGGGCUAACUACUGGAAACGGUAGCUAAUACCGCAUACCAUCAGAUGUGCCCAGAUGGGAUUAGCUAGUUGGUGGGUUCCCGGCUCACCAGGGCGACGAUCCCUAGCUGGUCUGAGAGGAUGACCAGCCACCAGUGAAUGGAGACAGGGGCCAGACUCCGACGGGAGGCAGCAGGGGGGAAGAUUGAACAAUGGGCGCAAGCCUGAUGCAGCCAUGACGCGUGUAUGAAGAAGGCCGUCGGGUUGUAAAGUACUUUCAGCGGGGAGGCGUUACCCGCAGAAGAAGCACCGGCUAACUCCGUGCCAGAAGCCGAGGGAAUUC
rnacentral:rRNA from 1 species